UUGGAUUAUUUUGUUGGUUUGGGAUAUUACGAAGUAAUGAUUUUAAUCAAAACAAGGCUUUCGCAGCAGUUCGGUUUCAGCCAAUCCAAGAAUUGCACCUCUCACAACAGAAUCCCAAUGCCCUAAACCAUCCCUAUUGUAAUAGGGAUGGUUGAAGGCAUUCGGAUUGUGUAGCCAGAGGUGGAACUCUCAGAUCGGGGGAAGACAAACAGCUGCAAAAGAGUUUUGCCCAGCA
rnacentral:rRNA from 11 species